AGCUCCAACACCCCCACCCCCACCGCCUCCGUCAAGAUCCUCAACAUCAACUGGUUCCAGAAGGAGGCCAACGCCAACGACGAGGUUAGCAUGACGCUGAACAUCUCCGCCGACCUUUCGUCGCUCUUCACAUGGAACACGAAACAUGUAUU